rnacentral:rRNA from 1 species
AUGGAGGCGGAGCGGAUCUCGUCCCUUGCCGGUGGGAGGGCUCCGUUUUUAGAUCUUUUUUCGAGUUUUGUUAGGGUUUGUGUCCUACUCAGGAAGGCGAGAUGGCGGCGACUCCUUGAAGAUGGAAUAAAGGUCUCCCCGCCUAGCCCCCAUUUCGAUAAUGCGUCUAGCAUCGUCGGUGGGCGUGUGGAGUUGUGUCUCCGGCGGAUCUGUCUUUGGUGGAUUUGCUCGGAUCUGUUCCUUGUUCGUUUGUGUUCCCGUGCCUUCAGGGCCUUAGCACGACGACUUCCCGACUGUCUACUACAACAUGGUUUGCCGGCUUCGGCGAUGAAGGGGCGAUGA